UGAGGAGCAUAGAGAUAUAAUAUUACUUUCAUAUGUCCAAGUAUGAUUUCGGCGACUAUGAUAUGCAAUCAAUCAGAUACCGUGAUCAACUUCAUGGCAAGUUCAAUGAAAGUGAAUCGACAUAUGCAUUACAUCAUAUGUCCGUACAUUCAAAAUGCAUAUACAAAAUUCACCCCCCUUGAAGGGUCCAAUAAAGGAACUAAAGUGUCUUGGAUAACUAUGCGGUGUUGUCGACAAUCGAGAGGAGAUGAAUGCGAAUAUUUCGUGAUGAGAUACAUGCUUCUAACCAUCCGCUUCUACUAUGAUUCAAAUAAUUUGUAUGAGCUAUAUGUAUGUUGUAAAUUUGUUAUUUAUACUUAUAGAAUUUUAAAGUAUAUUAACUAAUUUAAUAUACUUACUGGAUUUUCCUUCAUGUCCUUAGCCAUACUCCAUAGCGGAGAUCAACGACCUCCAAGAACUUUUUGCGCAAUACUUUGUACAGAUCGUCGAAGAAGCAUCAAACUAACUAGUUAGUUUAUGUAUUUAUAGGUUGAACAAUAUUUUAUUGAUUGAACCUUGUUUGUCGCUUGGUUGCUUGAUUGCAACAUUGG